rnacentral:rRNA from 1 species
CCUUAGAGUUUGAUCCUGGCUCAGGAUGAACGCUGGCGGCGUGCCUAAUACAUGCAAGUCGAACGAAUCUCUUUUAGAGAUGAGUGGCGAACGGGUGAGUAAUACAUAGGUAACCUGCCCCUGUGCGGGGGAUAACAGGAGGAAACUCCUGCUAAUACCGCAUAGCCAUGAGCACCGCAUGGAGCUCAUGCCAAAUAUCCUUUAUGGGAUAGCGCAGGGAUGGACCUAUGGCGCAUUAGCUGGUUGGCGGGGCAACGGCCCACCAAGGCAACGAUGCGUAGCCGGCCUGAGAGGGCGGACGGCCACAUUGGGACUGAGACACGGCCCAGACUCCUACGGGAGGCAGCAGUAGGGAAUUUUCGGCAAUGGGGGAAACCCUGACCGAGCAACGCCGCGUGAGCGAAGAAGGCCUUCGGGUCGUAAAGCUCUGUUGUAAAGGAAGAACGGCGCAUACAGGAAAUGGUAUGCGAGUGACGGUACUUUACCAGAAAGCCACGGCUAACUACGUGCCAGCAGCCGCGGUAAUACGUAGGUGGCGAGCGUUAUCCGGAAUCAUUGGGCGUAAAGAGGGAGCAGGCGGCCGCAAGGGUCUGUGGUGAAAGACCGAAGCUAAACUUCGGUAAGCCAUGGAAACCGGGCGGCUAGAGUGCGGAAGAGGAUCGUGGAAUUCCAUGUGUAGCGGUGAAAUGCGUAGAUAUAUGGAGGAACACCAGUGGCGAAGGCGACGGUCUGGGCCGCAACUGACGCUCAUUCCCGAAAGCGUGGGGAGCAAAUAGGAUUAGAUACCCUAGUAGUCCACGCCGUAAACGAUGGUCACUAAGUGUCGGGGGUCAAACCCCGGUGCUGCAGUCAACGCAAUAAGUGACCCGCCUGAGUAGUACGUUCGCAAGAA